GUAGGUUGGGCCGUUGAACGCGGUACAAGGUCCCCUUCAUCCGGAGUAACUACAGUUGAAGCGUUUAGCACAGAGGAAGGGGAUAUAAACGUGUGAAAUUUACAGCCUCACCCAAUUUUUCAGUUUUAUCCCACACUCAAACCCACAUGCGUGAAACUUAACGCGCGCACCCAUUUAUUCUGAAAAACUUAUCGGCAGAACCAUUUUUUUAAAGUUUUAAAGUUGAUGAUUUUUUUAUUUCGAUGGCUAGUAUUCUUUACAGGUUCCUGCAAGGAAAAAGAGGGAGGCGCGAUAUUCAUAAACUGAAGAUUGAGAGUCGAAGAGGGGAUCUGCAAUUGAUAGUGAAGGGGAGAUGAAGCUACAUAUGGUGUGCUACUGAGUUGAACUGCAGUCGAUGUGUGGUGCACCGUGGUUGCUGUUGUUUGUUGCAGUGAAGGGGAGAUGAAGCUACAUAUGGUGCAGGAAAUGGUGUUGUAUGUUAUUGGUGGUCUGAGAUGUGAAAGAGUGUGCUACUGAGUUAUAGAGCCCACCAUUAUUAUGUACGGUGUAUAUAAUUUUUCAUAAGGGAAGAUUUAGGUUAGAAACUUUUGUCGCUUGGGUUGGUGAGAGAUUUUCAUUUUAGGUACUUACUCGGCGUUUUUUAUAGCCAUUAAUACUUUAAAAUGUCUCAUAUAUGAUCAUGUUUUUCUGUGGAGUUUGUAUCUGCACAUCCCUUAUGUUGUUUUCAAAGCUACGGAUGAAGGAUAAUGGUUGGAUAAGCUGAGUUCGAGGA